GAUGAACGCUGGCGGCGUGCCUAAUACAUGCAAGUCGAGCGAACAGAUGAGAAGCUUGCUUCUCUGAUGUUAGCGGCGGACGGGUGAGUAACACGUGGGUAACCUACCUAUAAGACUGGGAUAACUCCGGGAAACCGGGGCUAAUACCGGAUAAUAUUUUGAACCGCAUGGUUCAAUAGUGAAAGACGGUUUCGGCUGUCACUUAUAGAUGGACCCGCGCCGUAUUAGCUAGUUGGUAAGGUAACGGCUUACCAAGGCGACGAUACGUAGCCGACCUGAGAGGGUGCUCGGCAACACUGGAACUGAGACACGGUCCAGACUCCUACGGGAGGCAGCAGUAGGGAAUCUUCCGCAAUGGGCGAAAGCCUGACGGAGCAACGCCGCGUGAGUGAUGAAGGUCUUCGGAUCGUAAAACUCUGUUGUUAGAGAAGAACAAAUUUGUUAGUAACUGAACAAGUCUUGACGGUACCUAACCAGAAAGCCACGGCUAACUACGUGCCAGCCGCCGCCGUAA
rnacentral:rRNA from 1 species